rnacentral:rRNA from 1 species
GAGUUUGAUCGUGGCUCAGGACGAACGCUGGCGGCGUGCCUAAUACAUGCAAGUCGAGCGGAUCUUCAUUAGCUUGCUUUUGAAGAUCAGCGGCGGACGGGUGAGUAACACGUGGGCAACCUGCCUGUAAGACUGGGAUAACUUCGGGAAACCGGAGCUAAUACCGGAUAAUCCUUUUCCUCUCAUGAGGAAAAGCUGAAAGACGGUUUCGGCUGUCACUUACAGAUGGGCCCGCGGCGCAUUAGCUAGUUGGUGAGGUAACGGCUCACCAAGGCGACGAUGCGUAGCCGACCUGAGAGGGUGAUCGGCCACACUGGGACUGAGACACGGCCCAGACUCCUACGGGAGGCAGCAGUAGGGAAUCUUCCGCAAUGGACGAAAGUCUGACGGAGCAACGCCGCGUGAGCGAUGAAGGCCUUGGUCGUAAGACUCUGUUGUCAGGGAAGAACAAGUAGUCGGAGGUAACUGCCGGUACCGUUCGACGGUACCUGACCAGAAAG